rnacentral:rRNA from 1 species
UACGUAGGGUGCAAGCGUUGUCCGGAAUUAUUGGGCGUAAAGAGCUCGUAGGCGGUUUGUUGCGUCGGCUGUGAAAUCCCGAGGCUCAACCUCGGGUCUGCAGUCAAUACGAGCAAACUAGAGUGUUGCAGGGGAGACUGGAAUUCCUGGUGUAGCGGUGAAAUGCGCAGAUAUCAGGAGGAACACCGGUGGCGAAGGCGGGUCUCUGGGCAACAACUGACGCUGAGGAGCGAAAGCGUGGGGAGCGAACAGG